rnacentral:ncRNA from 1 species
UGGGGACCGCGAUCUCCCCACGAGGCGACAGGCCUAAGCAUCGC